rnacentral:rRNA from 1 species
CAGCCGCCGCGGUAAUACGAAGGGUGCAAGCGUUACUCGGAAUUACUGGGCGUAAAGCGUGCGUAGGUGGUGGUUUAAGUCCGUUGUGAAAGCCCUGGGCUCAACCUGGGAAUUGCAGUGGAUACUGGGUCACUAGAGUGUGGUAGAGGAUAGUGGAAUUUCCGGUGUAGCAGUGAAAUGCGUAGAGAUCGGAAGGAACAUCUGUGGCGAAGGCGACUAUCUGGGCCAACACUGACACUGAGGCACGAAAGCGUGGGGAGCAAACAGGAUUAGAUACCCCAGUAGUCCCUGUCUCUUAUCC